rnacentral:lncRNA from 1 species
GGAGCAUUAGGUUUGAGACAGAUUGUCUCAGUGUUGAUAUUUUUAGCAUAUAGUUUUUACUCUACUUUUCACCAAAAGAUAGAUUUGUGGUUGCUAUUGCUAUCUCAUUUCUAAAAGUAAAUGAAGAUUUUUUUAAAAGCACCAACUUGGACUUUUUCUAAGGUGAUAGCAUUCAGCCAAAGAUCUAAUAGGACAUAGGAAGUUUUUAUCAUUACCUGAGAUGUCAAAAAAGAAUUAAAUUCAUGAACUUUAUUGUUAAAACUUAGCCAACUUAAAUAGUAUAUGGGAAGUUCAUAAUAUCACACAGUGUUCAGGCAUUCAGCUGAGAAAACAUUUUGUUCCAUAGAGUUAGGAAACAGUUUUAUCUUACGGAGAGAUUUGUUAUACCAACCCUCCUGAAUGAAAGUUUCACACUUUGGGAGACUAUCAUUUGUAAACAUGCAAGUCAGUGGAUUGCUAUGGUUUGCAUGAUUUAACAUGGCAGCCAGUGUUGGACCAAGAAAAAUAUACCCACAUUGAAAAUUCAAGACGUGAUGUCAAUGAGGGCGUUAUAUGCAUAGCAUUCUGUCUCUGUUGACUUCUAAACCAUCUUGUUCUUUUAAUGCAUGUUGCGUGUCUCUCUCAUGCUCUCUUUUAGAAGAAAAGUUUUACCUGUAAGUUAGGCCUUUAAAAAAAAACUCUACAACUCGUGAUUUUCAGUGACAUACUUCAUGUCUCUGUCUUGUGUUUUCUUAACUUCACUCGUGGUGUCUUGACUACUAUAGACCGAAUCCAUUUCCCCAAGCCCCACACUAAAACUUUGGACCCACCGUCUUUUAUGAAACUGUGGUACCUUUUCUUUCUAGAAAGUUUACUUAAAUGUGUCUGAAUAUUACCCUAUUGCUAAUAGC